GCCCGUGCGUGUGCUAUAAUGCAGUCGAGCGGACAGAAGGGAGCUUGCUCCCGGAUGUUAGCGGCGGACGGGUGAGUAACACGUGGGUAACCUGCCUGUAAGACUGGGAUAACUCCGGGAAACCGGAGCUAAUACCGGAUAGUUCCUUGAACCGCAUGGUUCAAGGAUGAAAGACGGUUUCGGCUGUCACUUACAGAUGGACCCGCGGCGCAUUAGCUAGUUGGUGAGGUAACGGCUCACCAAGGCGACGAUGCGUAGCCGACCUGAGAGGGUGAUCGGCCACACUGGGACUGAGACACGGCCCAGACUCCUACGGGAGGCAGCAGUAGGGAAUCUUCCGCAAUGGACGAAAGUCUGACGGAGCAACGCCGCGUGAGUGAUGAAGGUUUUCGGAUCGUAAAGCUCUGUUGUUAGGGAAGAACAAGUGCAAGAGUAACUGCUUGCACCUUGACGGUACCUAACCAGAAAGCCACGGCUAACUACGUGCCAGCAGCCGCGGUAAUACGUAGGUGGCAAGCGUUGUCCGGAAUUAUUGGGCGUAAAGGGCUCGCAGGCGGUUUCUUAAGUCUGAUGUGAAAGCCCCCGGCUCAACCGGGGAGGGUCAUUGGAAACUGGGAAACUUGAGUGCAGAAGAGGAGAGUGGAAUUCCACGUGUAGCGGUGAAAUGCGUAGAGAUGUGGAGGAACACCAGUGGCGAAGGCGACUCUCUGGUCUGUAACUGACGCUGAGGAGCGAAAGCGUGGGGAGCGAACAGGAUUACAUACCCUGGUAGUCCUCGCCGCAAACGAUGAGUGCUAAGUGGUAGGGGGUUUCCGCCCCUUAGCGCUGCAGCUUACCACAUUACCACGCCGCCUGGGGAGUGCGGCGGCAGAUUUGACAUCCAACGUAG
rnacentral:rRNA from 1 species